rnacentral:tRNA from 1 species
GGGCCCGGUGGCCGGGUCCGGGCCGCGGGUGGCGGUCCUGAAGACCUACAAGCUGUACGUGGGCGGGAAGUUCCCGCGUUCCGAGAGCGGCCGGGUGUAC